CAGCAGCCACGGGAAUACAGAGGAUGCAAGCGUUAAUCGGAAUUACUGGGCGUAAAGCGUGCGCAGGCGGUUAUAUAAGUCAGAUGUGAAAUCCCCGGGCUCAACCUGGGAACUGCAUUUGAGACUGUAUGGCUAGAGUGUGUCAGAGGGGGGUAGAAUUCCACGUGUAGCAGUGAAAUGCGUAGAUAUGUGGAGGAAUACCGAUGGCGAAGGCAGCCCCCUGGGAUAACACUGACGCUCAUGCACGAAAGCGUGGGGAGCAAACAGGAUUAGAGACCCCUGUAGUCCCUGUCUCUUAUAA
rnacentral:rRNA from 1 species